UUGUAUCUACCUCGGUGCUUGAGACGGUGCUUGGCAGACACUCCGGCUUCUGCUCCGGCCCCAGAACCCCUCCGGAAAACCUCCCUCCUCUUCGGCUGGGGCCCCCGCUUCCCGCCGGGGGGGUCGGUAUCCACCCGACGGCGGCGUUGGCACUAGAGGCCCGGCCGGGAUUCCCCGCCUGCAGGUGAGAUGGGGCGUCGGGCUUCCUGCCCGCUCUGCCCGGGCCGGAGGGAGAGGAAGAAAAGCAAACAUCCCGGGGAUCGCCCGGGGACAGACGGUCGCCCGCCCCCCCUCUGCACAUCCGGGGGCUUUUCAUUCGUUCGGCCCUAUUUAUUGAGCGUUUACUGUCCGCGGAGCACUGUACCAAACGCUUGGGAGAGGACGACGCCACGAUGAACGGACCCGUUCCGGCAGGCAGCGGUGGGGAAUUGAACUCCCCCGUCCCCCGUCGGGGGCGGCCUGCAGCCCACCCCACUUGAAUCAUCUCUGUCGUACCGUCCCCUCCCAAGCGCUCAGUCCAGCGUUCCGCACCCAGCGUGCGUUCGGGAAGUACGGUUGAUAUGCGGUCCCCGCCGCGGCGUCCUCCCAUCCUCCUUCCUCUUCUACUCCCGCCCUGGGCCGAGCCCGGGACUCAGUCUCCCCCCCCACGGCCGCCCCUCGCCGGGCUGAGCGGUCAGACGGUAGCCCGGCUGAGGCCCGAGGAGCAGGUGGAAGCUGCCGAGAGGGGUCGGGGAGGCCCGAGGGAGGGUAAAUCCCGGCCCUUCCCGGUCCCCUCGCCCCCAACUGUGGCUUCUCCCCGCUCCCCCUUUUCCCGGCUCCGGCUUCUGCUCCGUCCGGGUCGUCCCGAGCUCCAGACGGGUGGAUCGUUGCGCUAAUGAGAGCGUCGCCUCGUGGGAGGGAGAGCAGCCGGGUCGGGAGCCCCCCCCGUCCCCUCCCGCCUCCCCCGUGCGGCCCCGCGGGGGCUCCCCUCGCCCGCUCGAUGGAUGGCCUCCCUCUGCCCCACGAGAUGCAUUUUUAAUGCAGGGGAGAUUAAAAUAAUACAGACUCGGA